ACCCUCUUCAGCACACUAAAACGGAGCUUGCAUGCGCUCGUACCAAAUUGUGCAUCAUUAAUUAACCUAAGCUACUACUGGCAGAAUCUAGCUAGCGGUGAUAACAUGGGGCAAAAGUUCAGUCUUUUAUCACAUCACAAAUGUCUGAUACUAAUUAGCUAGUAGUAUAAUUAUUAGACAUGAGCUAAUAUAAAACUAAUUACAGAAAGCCGUGGCUCUAAUUCAUGUGACAGAUCUAUUAAGACUAAUUAAUCUAUCAUUAACACAUAUUUUAUUGUAGCGCCACACUGUCAAAUUAUGCACUAAUUAAGCUUAAUAGAUUCAUCUUGCAAAUUACACUACUACAGAAAAUCUUUUCCGAGGCGGGCAUUUUGGAUUAACCGAGGCGGGCAACGAAAACGCCUCAGAUGAAAGGUCACGCUAAAUGGAGACAUUUUCCGAGGCAUUUUGUUGCCCGCCUCGGUUAAUCAAAUAAAAGACAAAAAAAAAACAAAAGCUCAAACCCAGCCCUAAACGGGCCUUGAUCUGGACCUACCGUCGCCGCCAGGGGCACCACCGCAGCACGUCGCGCAUCCGCAGCCACCGUGUACACGCAACAUCACCACCACGUAGAUCCGCUGCCAGAGGACAGCAACACCCUCGAUCCGCCAUUGGGGGGCGCCACCGCUCUUGAUCUGCUGGAUCUGAGGAAGAGAGAGGCGUCACACCCUGGUCUAUGCGCUAGGAAGGUGGAUCCGCAUCGUCGUUGCUGAAUAUGAGGAAGAGGGAGCCGCUGCCGGAGAGGACGAAGUCGCAAGAGCCGCUGCCAGAGAGCCCUCCGCCGCUAGUACCUAUGCGCGCGGCCUAAGGGAGGGAGCCACCACCACAGCACGGCCGUGGGAGCCCCCUCUGUGGCGAAGAGAGAGCAGAGAGGAGGGGCACCGUGGGGGAGAGCGCGCCACUG
rnacentral:lncRNA from 1 species